UACGAAGGGGGCUAGCGUUGCUCGGAAUUACUGGGCGUAAAGCGCACGUAGGCGGAUUGUUAAGUCGGGGGUGAAAUCCUGGAGCUCAACUCCAGAACUGCCUUCGAUACUGAGGAUCUUGAGUACGGGAGAGGUGAGUGGAACUGCGAGUGUAGAGGUGAAAUUCGUAGAUAUUCGCAAGAACACCAGUGGCGAAGGCGGCUCACUGGCCCGUAACUGACGCUGAGGCACGAAAGCGUGGGGAGCAAACAGG
rnacentral:rRNA from 1 species